AACGAACGCUGGCGGCAGGCUUAACACAUGCAAGUCGAACGGGUGCAGCAAUGCAUCAGUGGCAGACGGGUGAGUAACACGUGGGAACCUUCCUAGGGGUACGGAACAACUCAGGGAAACUUGAGCUAAUACCGUAUACGUCCGUGAGGAGAAAGAUUUAUCGCCCUUAGACGGGCCCGCGUCGGAUUAGCUAGUUGGUGGGGUAACGGCCUACCAAGGCGACGAUCCGUAGCUGAUCUUAGAGGAUGAUCAGCCACACUGGGACUGAGACACGGCCCAGACUCCUACGGGAGGCAGCAGUGGGGAAUCUUGGACAAUGGGCGCAAGCCUGAUCCAGCCAUGCCGCGUGAGUGAAGAAGGUCUUCGGAUUGUAAAGCUCUUUUGCCAGGGACGAUAAUGACGGUACCUGGAGAAUAAGCCCCGGCAACUUCGUGCCAGCAGCCGCGGUAAU
rnacentral:rRNA from 1 species